rnacentral:rRNA from 1 species
CAGGCCUAACACAUGCAAGUCGAGCGCGAAUGGAGCAAUCCUAGUAGAGCGGCGCACGGGUGCGUAACACGUGGAUAAUCUGCCUGGGUGUCUGGGAUAACCAGUCGAAAGACUGGCUGAUACCGGAUGAGCCCCCGGGAACUUCGGUUCUUGAGGGAAAAGGUGGCCUCUGUAUACAAGCUAUCACAUCCAGAUGAGUCCGCGGCCCAUCAGCUAGUUGGCGGGGUAAUGGCCCACCAAGGCGACGACGGGUAGCUGGUCUGAGAGGACGAUCAGCCACACUGGAACUGAGACACGGUCCAGACUCCUACGGGAGGCAGCAGUGGGGAAUUUUGCGCAAUGGGCGAAAGCCUGACGCAGCAACGCCGCGUGUGUGAUGAAGGUCUUUGGAUUGUAAAGCACUUUCGACCGGGACGAAAACCCCUGGGCUAAUACUCCAGGGCUUGACGGUACCGGGAGAAGAAGCACCGGCUAACUCUGUGCCAGCAGCCGCGGUAA